rnacentral:rRNA from 1 species
CUGAGUUAGCCGGAGCUUCUUCUAUCGCUACCGUCAUUAUCUUCACGAUUGAAAGAGCUUUACAACCCGAAGGCCUUCUUCACUCACGCGGCAUGGCUGGAUCAGGGUUUCCCCCAUUGUCCAAUAUUCCUCA